UACGGAGGGUGCGAGCGUUAAUCGGAAUCACUGGGCGUAAAGCGCGCGUAGGCGGCUUUUCAAGUCAGGGGUGAAAUCCCACGGCCCAACCGUGGAACUGCCUUUGAAACUGUAGAGCUUGAGUGUCGGAGAGGGUGGCGGAAUUCCAGGUGUAGGAGUGAAAUCCGUAGAUAUCUGGAGGAACACCGGUGGCGAAGGCGGCCACCUGAACGACAACUGACGCUGAGGUGCGAAAGCGUGGGUAGCAAACAGG
rnacentral:rRNA from 1 species